GCCGAGAUGUCGGAACUGGUAGACGACACGGACUUAAAAUCCGUUGGAGCUUAGCUCCGUGUGGGUUCGAGUCCCACUCUCGGCA
rnacentral:tRNA from 1 species